UUGCAGUAGGUGUUAACGGGGACUCGGGAUGUGACGCGAUAGGACCUCCCCUGCUCUGUGAUUUAAAUAUGACGUGUGCUUAGGAGGCGUAGACAAGGCAAGGUGUGUAUUUAAGGAGCUGCCACACUGUAAUAAAUGCCAUUUGCUAUAUCCUUAUAUAGGUGUCUGUGUAGCAAUGGCCCUAGCGAGGGUAGAUCGCUAGCCCCUGGCGGAAUGUGCCUCAGAAGCAGGAACAACAAAUGGUGCCCCGUGUGAGGAAGAAUAGGUCCGUCGCUCCCCAGUGUCCCAGGUGUUGCCUGAGAUCCGGUGAGGGAUCUGCUCCUGGCCAGGAGGAUGGAGUGGAGGAGGACAAGAUGGCAACUGUUUCCUGACCCACCCCUCGCCACUGUAUCCGGUCCGACCGACUCGACCCGGAUAUCCUUUUAUGGAGUUGAGGGCGCAUGCGACUGAUCAGGGGUCUCCACAACAGGGAGGACCUGUUUUGUUGGCUAUUUCAAGGGGUUGGCCGAUGGUGGUCAUUGACCUCAAGGUCUGCUUUUUCUCUAUCCCUCUCGCAGAAGAGGACCGAGAAGCAUUUGCCUUCACGUUUCCGGUGACUAAUAAUGAAGGGCCUGCAGAGAGAUAUCAAUGGCGUGCCCUCCCUCAGGGAAUGAUGUGCUCCCCUACAGUAUGUCAACUAGUAGUGGGAAAUGUUCUGAAGGCGGUCUGAAAAGAUUUCCCUCAGUAUAUGGUUGUACAUUAUAUGGACAAUCUAUUGCUUGCUGCUCCCUCUUAUUUGGGGCUACAUAUGCUUGAGACUCGGGUAGUGGAAACCUUGACCACUGCCAGAUUUGUUAUCUCUGAACAAAAAUUGCAGAGGGGCCCGGGGGUUGAAUACCUCGGAUAUAAGUUUCGCCCAGAGAUGGUUCGGCCAACAGGGCUUGACAUUCGACCCCACAUUACCACCCUGUGGGAUGUGCAGAAGUUGGUGGGGGCAAUUCAAUGGGUCCGAGGGGCCUUGGGAAUUGCCUCCCGGCUUAUGAAACCCUUCUAUGAUCAACUGAAGGAGGUGGACCCGAGAGAACCUCGAGAGCUCACCCAUGAUAUGGCUGCUGCAUGGCAUGAAAUUCUGCAGUGUUGUAUGGGACAGUCGCUAGCGCGGUGGGACCCCAAUCUAGAUCUUGAAGUAGCAGCGACUCGAUGCGAGGCCGGUACAACUGCCAUUUUGGGCCAUACCCUUGAUGCUAAGCCACGACCUCUGUGGUGGUUGUUUUCAGUGCAGCCUACGUGAGUCUACACUUCCUGGCUUGAGAUCUUAGCAAUGCUGCUCAGGAAGUCCCUAUUGCUAUUGUUGCAGGCCCUGGCAAGAGAACCUCAUGUUAUAUACCUGCAGAGCUCAUUUCGGGACAUGCAGCCGCUCCCUGAAGCCCUUCUUACGGUGUUGCGGGGCUUUGGGGGAAGCACUGUGUACUCUGAUUCGUUACCCAUUUUUGAUUUAGCUAAGCCCCUCAAUGUCUCCCUUUGAUCUCGUGUCCUAACCUCUCUGCUUGAUGGGCCCACCCUGUUCACGGAUGCAUCUUCAACCACCGGACAGGGGCAGGACUCAAGCAACAGUUGGGAGACCGCUGUUUUUACCGAUCAGACAGCUAGUGUGCAAAUGCUUGAGGUGAUGACUGUGGCGGUAGCAGUGCAUUUGUGGUGAGAGAUUCCAUGUAACAUUGUCACUAAUUCUGCUUUCAUGGCCAGACUGCUUGUCUACAUGGAUCAAGAAGGGCAUCUGAGCUCUGAGGCCGCUGGCCUCCUAGAAGAAGCUUUGGCUUCCUGCUCAGCUCCUGUGGCCAUCUUGCAUGUCUGCAGCCAUUCUGAUGUGCCAGGCUUCUUUACAGCAGGGAAUGCUGUAGUGGACAGAGCUGCCCAUACACUUGUUUUCAUGGUUCACGAAGCCCGUGACCUUCAUGCCACCCUUCACAUAGGCGCCCGUGCACUGGCUAGGACAUGUUCCAUUCCUUUGUCUGUUGCACGCGAUGUUGUUCAGGGAUGUCCCCACUGUAAUUCUGCACCUGUAAUAGAGGCUGGAGUUAACCCCCAUGGUCUCGGACCAUUACAAAUUUGACAAACAGAUUUCACUUGGGAACACCAUCUGUCCCCCCACCCUUGGCUUACCAUCACGGUGGAUACUUCCUCCACUGUCAUCGUAGCCACGCAGCAUGCUAAGUCUAACUUGUCCAUGGCACAAUAUCAUUGGGUUGCUGCCAUUGCUGUGAUGGGCUUGCCUAAUCAGAUUAAGACUGAUAAUGGGUCCUGCUUCAUCUCGUAAAACAUCUUGAGAUGGGAAAAAUAGUAUGGGUACCAUCGCGGAAAGUUAAAUCAGAUGCCAGCAAGGAAAUAACCGGACUAUGAGCCUUCUUGUUCACAGGUUUGGCUCCUGGGGAGGCCUAAACCACAGACAGAGGAGACAAGAGAACAAAAAAAAAAGGAGCCGUUCCUGAAAGCUCCUGCUAAGACUGCAGCACAUGCUAAGUAUACAACACUUUUGCUUAUAGUAUCGGCAAUAGGUACUGCUCAGGCCUGGGAAAGCAACGGGUAUGUCAACGUUACCCACGUAAUGGCCCAGCAUUUCAAUUUAUCAGACUGUUGGAUUUGUACUGCCUUACCACGGGGAGGGAACUCCCCUUGCUAGGAGUUCCAGUGCCAUUCAGAAACUGGAGCUUGCCAUGGGACGCGGUGCAAGUACAGUACAUGGGGCGUGGCGAAAGUUUGUUUUGGUUUGUGCGGGCUUCAUGUGGUCUGGCGGGGCACGCAUCCCUACUCCCUAGCGGGGAAACGUUAUGCUGGAGUUUUCAGGACCCCUUGACCUCUUGACCGCCCAAGGUUGUGAAACCAGACGUAGCUUGUUAUCUGAAUACUAGCUCUCCGAGGUUUGAGAUGCUAUCCUCAUGGCCGAACAAUACUGUUGUCCUGGCGCAGAAUGGCAGCUACAGUGUGGGUCAUUUUUCAGCAGUGAACGUUACUUGAUGCCCAAGCUCAGAGUACUGCCCUAGGCCGAUAGUGGUGGCCUUGAGCAAUCCUGGCGGUACCCCACUGGGAUGUCCUCCCAAAGGUCUAUGGUGGCUGUAUGGGGAUGGCUGAGCAAGGAAAAGUGUACCAUCUGAUUGGAGUGGCUCUUGCACCUUGGGAGCCCUCAUUCCAAAUGUUGUCUGGCAUAACUGAUCGGCACCUCCUCCUGGAAUCCUACGAACACAUUGGAGGAGAGUGCAGAGGGUUCUGAACCCUGUAGUGGAGAAACCUACUGGUUUACACAGUUUUGCUAGAUGGUUCAUCCCAUCCUUGGGGGUGAGUGAGUUAGAGAAAACGUUUGUUAACAUUUCAGCCACCUUGGAAAUGAUAGAAAAUGCCACCGUUGAUGCAAUCAGGACAUUACAAGGAGAAGUCUCUACACUUAGCAAGGUGGUAUUACAGAAUAGGAUGGCAUUAGACCUCUUAAUGGCAAAAGAAGGAGGAGUCUGUGUGGUAAUAAACCACAGCUGCUGUGCCUAUGUCGAUAAGACUCAGAGGGUAGAGACGGGCAUACAAGCAAUAUGGGAACGGACUAAAUUACUCCAUCAAGUGUCCAUGGAUGAUACUUCAUGCGGAUUUCGGGACUUAUGGGAGAAGCUCAUGAGUUGGUUACCUGACUUCACAUGGCUGAAGCAACUCUUCAUCGUUUGUGUCAUCAUAAUGAUCAUACUUAUAUUAAUGUGAGUCACUAUGCGAUGUAUGUUGUGCCUAUGUAUAAAUUCUGGGAAGGGCUACGGAAAAUGGAAAAAACUCAGGUUAGGGCAGCAACUAAGGUACUUAUAGUUGCCUUGCCUCUAAUUGUAUUAUAUGUAAUAUAAUCGCCAUAUGCUGUAGCAAGUAGACUAGCUUAAAAGACCCAACAUAGCUUGCCAUCCCCUCUGUGUCCUAGGCUGGCGAUCUCGGUGGGUGUUGAUUAAGAAAUUGCGGUCGCGCUGUAACGGGGCAAGACUUUACUGAGCAUGGGGAGGGGGAAAUAUUGCAGUAGGCGUUAACGGGGACUCGAGAUGUGACACGAUAGGACCUCCCCUGCUCUGUGAUUUAAAUAUGACAUGUGCUUAGGGAGCGUAGACAAGGCAAGGUGUGUAUUUAAGGAGCUGCCACGCUGUAAUAAACGCCAUUUGCUAUAUCCUCAUAUAGGUGUCUGUGUAGUAAUGGCCCUAGCGAGGGUAGAUUGUUAGCUCCCGGCAGAACGUGCCUCUGAAGCGGGAACAACAAACGUGCGUGUCGCUAAUGUGCAUAACAGAACUUGCCUUACCCAUGGGUUACCAGGAGGCUAAGAAAAGUAAUCUAACACCUAGGCCAACUUGCAGACUCCUUGGGUAAUUCAUGCCGGACGAGUCACCUCAGCAUGUGCCAGACUUUCACAUAUAAUAUGAUUACAAGUAAUAAACAAAUCAGUGUUAGAAUUAAUAAAAUCACAACUGGGUGAAGCACAGAAUUAAAAGCUCCUCUUGCUGUUGGUGACCAUCCAAGAAGCAUUUCCCACCAGUGGUGUUCUCCAUCCUUCUUCACCCUUUCUAGGACAUGGUGUAUCUCUUUUGUAUCAUGGUGAACAGUAAUUAGAAUUUUUUUGUCUGUUAUCUCAGAUGCAUUCUAGCAGUUGGUACAGAUCAUCAUGUUGCAGUAAUUUCUUUAAUAAAUCAAGGUUCAUUCCACUUGAUGCAGGUAGCCAAUGUUGGAUUAAUGUGUAAUUGGAUCAUAACAAUUGAUAUGAUGUAACUGCAACUGAAUAAUUAGAGUCACAUCCCAUAAUGUUGGUAAAGUUACAAACACAAACAUUUGAAUGAUUCCUUGUAUCUAUAGUAAUAUUACCUAUGAGUAUAAAAUUACAAGAAGUUCUCAUACACACACAUCCUUUUCCACUAUAGACAAGCACUGUUUCAGGGGUUUCAUUGGGAUACACCUCAAAACAGCAAAUAUUUUGCUUAGUGUCCAGACAAAUGUCUUGAGCCUUGAUGGUAUUACUUUCACAAAUAAAUCCUUGUUGUUCCCAUACAGCAAAUGAACUAACAUUAACAGUUUGCCAUUUGUUUCCAUUUUGCUGGGCCCAUACUGUGUGUUCUAAUGGGUAGAGUAUAAACUAGUUGUGAUUCAGUCCCAGCACAAUGAUUGGGUAUACAAUAUAUACUGAAGCACUGUGUAUUAUUAGGACAAAAGCUAUAGCAUAGUUAUUAACAGGAUCAUAAGUGAAAUUAACUAGAUGCCCCUAAGAUUGAAAUUUUCUUUCAGAUUUGUCUGCAUUGUCCAAGAUCACCUUUUGAAUUUUAGUGUGUAAAGCAUUUCCUUUACCUUCUACAACUAAGAGCUAGGGAGACAUUAUUUUGAGUUAUGGCAAGUAUAUCUACAAUUAACUGGUGGUCUUUUAUAUUUGUUCUUUCCCAUUGAGAUAAUACAUUAGAUAAGAACCGCUGGUUGGUUCCCAGUGCUGAUGGGGAAGACUGGGUUUUGCAAUACACAUAGAUCACCUGUUACAUUCGAUACCCUACCUUUAUUCUAUUCUUUGUCCUACAUUUCCCUGGACUUGGGGAAGUCAGCCAGUACUAUCCUGGCCCCAUUCAUUUCCUGAAUACAUUUCAUUACUGCGCUUAACCACAGUUGAAAGGGUUAAGCCUCUUAGAAUUAGAAUUUGGUCCCAUAUGCCCAACGUAGGCCAAUGUAGGCAUGGGACCAUUACCAGUUAGUGAAUGUGAUAGGGUCAGCAUAAGCAAUUACAAAUAUUAAUCUGAAGAAGAUGCCUGUCCAAAACAGUGACACUGUUGAUGAUACCACAAUGGAUACCACAGGGAUCUCAGGAAAAGGAGCAGGGUGAGAAGGGACUUGCGAGUCACAGCAUCAGGGUCAGCAUUCAUUAGCAUAUGGAAAACAAAAGAGAGAGAACUUCCUGGUUCCAGAGGAACAAAGGUUAUAGGAGGCAUAGCUGAAAAAGAAAAAAAACAAAUCUUUCUAGUCCCAAAUGAACCAAGGUCAAAAGGUAGGUGAAAUCCAGAUGGAUAAUUUUGUACAUUUCCCCUGAUCGUCUUGAGCCUUCCAGAUUUUAUUUUCCAGAUUAACCCUCUUUGAGGGUUAAAGGGACAGAACCAAUGAGGGGCAAAUUAAUUAACACCCGGUUGUCCCGGGGAGUAUUUGUCCGAAUAAGCAGCCCUUUGAGUAAGGGACCACAGGGUGUAAUGGUUGCCAGUAGUGAAAAAUAUUCCAGGUCCUCACAUCCUCCAGACUUUCUCCUGGAUACAAGUCACUGCCUGGGCAACUAGCAUUAAUCUCCCUCUCAUUUACUAUCUGUUCUCUAAGGGCUUGGUUAAAGGAUGACUUUUGAAUGUUUUUCUUUCUCUAACUGUCCCCUAAGGUCUUCUACUUGGCCCUGCAGGUAUGUGACCAGUUCCUGCAAGGACUGAAUAAUUUGAAUUUCUGCCAUGUGCUACUGGUUGGGGAUCUCUACAUCAGCAGUAAGAGCAGCUCCUAGAACUGCAAAAAUGGUUGAUUUUCCCUUUCCCUCCUCCAUACGAGUUGUUUGUGGAGGGAAUUUAUAUGAACUGUGACUCCUUCUAAGUUGGACCAGCUAUUCUGUUCCCACCCUAUCCCCACAGGGGAGGGUUUGGCACCAUUUUUUUAAAGAGGUUGAAAAGCGGAUAUCCACCUUUUUUUUUUUUUUUUUUUUUUUUUUUUUCCAAUGAUCAUGCCUCAAAAUGUGGAGCAAUCUCUUCAGGGGAAAGGAGGAACAUGUAAUAUCCACAACUCAACAAUUUCCUUCUUACACCCCCGAAGGAUCAACUUCCUACUUUUUUCUACCAAUAACGCAUUUGUUGCUACCACCUGGACACAUUGAGGCCAACCUCGAGAUAGAGGGUCUAAUAGCUUAGACAAUUAUGAGUAGGUUUUCUUUUGUUCCCCCCAUUCUUGUGUUAGAACUUCUAGAGUAGCUCCUUCAUUGACACUUAACAAAAAGGUGAGAAGUUUUUUUCAGGGCAGGCAGUUCUAACACUGGUGCUGUGAUUAAGUCCCAUUUUGAUACUUCUACUAAUUCUUUUUCCCCUUUUGUUCAUUUUAAUAUGUUGGGUUCUCCCUCUGAUAGUUUGAGAUACAAUCUCUUUGUCUUUUUGUGCAUAUGCUUCUAUUUGUAAUUGACAGAAUCCAAUUAAACCUAAAAACUUUUGCAACUCCCCCUUUGUUCUGGGCAGAGAAAGCUGCAAAAUUUCCUGAAUUCCUUCAGGAUUUAUUCUGCAUUUCCCUUCAGAAAUCACAUGCCCAAGGUAUCUGACUUCUUUUUCCACAUACUGCAGUUUAUUUUUAGAUACCCUUAGCCCACAUUCCUCCAAGAAGUUCAAGAGUUUACUUGUAGUCUUUUUUACUUUAGAGUCCUCUUUGCCACAAAUCAGCAAAUCAUCUACAUACUGUAACAACUUUACCCCCUCUUCAACCUGAAACUUUUUCAAAACUUUCUCCAGCACUUGUCUGCAUAGAUUAGGUGAUUCUGUGAACCCCCGGUGUAAAACAAUCCACAUAUAUUGCUGCUUUCAUCCCAUUUCUGGGUCCUCCCAUUCAAAGGCAAAAAGAUCUCGACUCUCUGAGUCCAAAGGGCAGGUCCAGAAAGCAUCUUUUAAGUUUAUUAUACUAAACCAUUUUUGUUUGUGUGGGAUCUGACUCAUUAGAGUAUAGGGGUCAGGAACUACAGGGUGCACUUGAGAACUAUUUCAUUAAUUUUUCUUAGACCUUGCACCAGUCAAUACGUGCCAUCUGCCUUCUGUACUGACAAAACUGGAGUGUUAAAGGGUGACAUACAGAGUUCCAGAAGACCAUCUCUAACCAAUGCCUAUAUUAUAGGUUUUAGACCCAUUAUCCCUUCUAAAGGUAUGGGAUAUUGUCACAGUUUCACAGCUUCACGUCCUCCUUGGACAGUUAUUUUUAAGGGAGUAACUGUGAGUCUACCCCAGUUUCUUUCCCCUGCCCACACCACUGGAUUUAUUUCUUUUUAUCAUCAGCUGUUAACAAAUUCAUUGAUACCUUUAUACCUGUUCCACAUGUUUUCAACUGCAAUCCUAAUGUAACUGUUAAAUCUCUCCCCAAUAAAUUGGUCCCUGCUUCUGGCAAAUUUAACAAUUUCUCUGUGACUAUUUUAUCUUCCUAUUUUAAUUCAGCAUUCUCAAAAAUUGAAACUAUAAUUCCUGAUCCCUGUACCCCUGUUAUUCUUAAAAUGUUCCCAUUUAAAUUAAGUCCUGGUAUUUUAUAAGUUUCAGAUGACCAAGUAUUAAUCAAACUGUUUUGCUAAUCCAAUAGGGUCUUCCAUUAAACAUUUCAUUUUCUUUUAAAAUUUCUCACCCCACUAGUAAGUGGGGAGUUUACAUAUCCUAUAUCUCCUGGUAACAUCGGAACUUCCCUAAGAGGAUACAUGUAAGUGUUAGUGGGGUUAAUGGAGUUAGAUUUAGGAAAGGGGAAAUUUAUAAUAUUCCCUUUGCAUUGUUCCAAUUCACAGAUCUCUGUUCAGAUGGAUGAUGAUUUGAGCCAAUACCCUCCACUCUGUCAGCUGUCUGCAGUCUCCCUGCUGUAGUUACAGGACUUGACUCAAGGACAGGAUGGUAAGGGGGGGUCGCUGUUCCACAGAGGAAAGUGCAUGAGUUCUAAUCCUAGGGAAAGGUACAGGGGAGGUAAAUAGCUUAAAGGAUCCCAUCUUUGGUUUCCCUGUUCUUCCUUAUCUACAGAAUUUCAUCUAGCCAUGAUUAGCUGCUGUACUCCCUGAAUCCAAAAAGCAAGCAGCAUAUGCAGACUCCUCCAAGAAAAAGGAGUUCUAUUGUUUACGUGCAUGUUCUGUAUAUCUACAGUUCAGUAAUUGUCCUGUGUUUUAGAUCUUUUUCUCCACUGUCACUUUCUAUCUGUUACAGAUUACCUUUUCUUAACAUUUAGUUAUACAGUUUAUACCUACUAGCUAAUUUAUUCCUGCUCUUCUGCUGUCAGACAGUUUGCUAACCUAUGUUAUCCUUCACAUGGGAUGCUACUGAUGCUUGUAUAUGAAAUAACUGCAUCUGUGACAGUAAAUGGAAAAGCUAGGAUUGUAACUGAGGCUACCCAGUUAUUUAUGUUUCCUUCAGCCUAUGCUUUCUUUCUCUGCUCCACAGCUUGAGUUAGAUAUAUGUACUCAUGAUGUUCCAACUCUUAUCUUAUAAAAAAUAAAUAAAUCUGCAUGUUAUGGGCUCAAAGACAUUAAAAUCCAAAGUGUUAAAGCUAAUAUGUGCCAGAUGUUACUCAUAAUUUCUUAACAGAGUUACAUUUCAUUUCCAUGAGCUGCACCAAAAUCUUUACUUCUGCCCCUUGUUUUGGAAAAAAGGAACUACUAGUCUCUCUAGCUCUUUUUUACAUUUUCUUCUGGAUAUUUAUGCAACUCCAUAAGAGAACUUCUUUACUUUUCUGUCAUAGUAAGACAUUUUUUAUGUUUCAGUUCCAGAGUCUUCCCUCUUUUAAGAAUCACUCUCCUUGCAUGAUUUGUCAUACCUUUGGAAAAAUACAUUAUACAUCUGGAAGCAAACCAUUUAAUUGUUUGUCACUGUUCUUCUCAUACGACUCCUGUCUAAGCCCAAAUAAACUAGUAUUCUUCUCCCAUGAUUAGAAAGCAACAUUUUUGAUUCUCAGUGAUGAAGUUUUAUAUUAUUUUGUGAAUCACUAGGAUUUCUGCUGUUCAGUGAUGCUAGUUCUGCUGACUUACUCUUCUGUUUAACUUUCAAAAGAUACUUCCCUACGGAGUGAAGUUAACAACAGAAGUUUAACAUCCACUUAACCAGCACAGUCUAUUUUCAGUCAUCUUAGAUGUGUCUUUCUAAAAGCCCUUUUUUAUAAAAUGCUGUUCAUUGGCAGUGAUUUUAGGCUUUUCCAAGAAAUUCUGAAACAUUCUGCACUUUCUGAAUUUAUCUUUAGGAUCAUCCCAGAAAGAUACACCCUAGAAAACUUCAAGUUCACAAAUUUUCUGUACACAGAUUUCCUUUCUCACAUCUCACUUAGGUCAGUUCACUUAACAGCUACGUAGUUACUUUGGUGAUUUUAUGCUUUUGUUUUUAAUAGCAAAUCAGAAAUAAAAAUGCAGUAAAAUAUUAGUUACAUUCAUUCACUGUAUUUAGUUUUGCAUUGCUUUAUGUUGCAGUGAUUAUAAUUUAACUAGACAAGAACCAAAAGAAAUAUUUAAUAGAAAAUUAUGAAUAUAAUAUUAACAGUUAGUGAGGAAAUCUCCCUUAUUAAUUUUAUAAAUUUAAUCUCCACUAAAAUAUUACUUGGUUUAAUCUGAUUUUUUCUUGUCUCUUUUAAACUUUUCUUGGCUUAAUUUUUCAUGCUAUAAUAUAAUCAGUGCCCGAAGAUAAUAUUUAAUAGAAUAUUAGGUUGUCUUUCAAUGUGAUUGGGAAAUAGUGUAUUUUUACUUGUACUACGACCAUGGAUUUUACUCAUAGGGCUAAAGUGCAGAUUUAGGUCUUGUUGGUGUGAACUACAACCCUUAUUACAAAGUGCCACACAUAUUUCUCUGAGUCAUAAAACCUUUUAUGGUUUCUACGUGCCUUCUGGGUUCUCCAUAAGAGAUUUUUUUCCAUUAGGCUGUAUCAGAUAAUAAUUGUACUUCUUGCAUUGACUCAACUGUGCUGACAUAUCACUGAAGAGAGGUCAGAGAGUAUUAAUUCUUCACUCCACAAUUCCAAACUGCUUUUAGAACACAGUAUAUGGACUCCUAAUACUUCCUACCACUGCCAGUAUGUAUAGAGGCAGAUGAUCCAGGGGAUUCUGGCACUGAUGAACAGACACAUAGGUCAAGACUAAAUUAGUGUCUGGUUUCCAAGCAGCAGCGGUUGAUCCAGGCCAACAAGCUGUCUGACAGAGUCUCUUUAUUCAGUCAGUAGAAAAAAUAGUAGUAGCAGUACUGGGGCUGAGCAUAUUACCUAAUAAAAUGCUUUACUUGGUAUAGCUACUUCUCUUUAGUAAAGUAUAGAGGGAACCAGAGACUGGAAACCGUGCAAGCACUCUGAAUAAUUAAUUGCUUCCUUGAAUGUAGAUAUCAUAUUUGAUGUGACCAAAGUAAUUGCAAAGCUUUGUCUCCAUCAACAGCAGUACAACUUUGGUAGUUCAGAAAUUCCCAUCAAAUGUUUUUGGAGUGAUUCCAUCUCUCUUAUUUGGCAGAGAAAACAUGAAAUUCGAGCAAAACAAAAAGUUGAGGAAAAAAAAUGACACUGUAGAAUUUUUGUCUCUUGAUCCCCUUCAGACCUGGCAUUUUGCCUUUUCAUUCCUUGGUGCCCAGUGGGAAACAUGAAGGAGGCUGAUACAUCAGUUUUCACCAUCUGCAAACUGCGAAGGAGAAAAGACCAAUUUCAUUGUGCAAAAAAAUCUAAAGUGAUAGCGAAGGCAAAAAGUUCAAAAUGCCAUUACCUUCUGUCAGAAAUGGAUCUUUAAAAGCAGAUAAAAGCUGAUCAUGUCCCUAAUGUAAAAUAAACUAGGAGAUGACAGGAAAAGAUAUUUAUAGGGAAUAGAAGGAAAGUGCUUUGCUUUGGAAUCCAGCCAUAAGGGAAAGUGCAGCUAAGGAUAAUUCAUUUCAGAAUCUUCCCCAGGCUGUGUUAGUCCUACUGCAAUUCUGCAGAAUAAUAGAACCAAAAUGCUCUUUUCUGGAGUUGUAGGUUCAAUUUCAUUGCUUUUUUUUUUCUUUCUUUCUUUCCCCUUUUAUCAACCCAAGAUGGACAGAUGUUUUAAUAUCUGGAAGGAUCAGCUAAGCUUAGGCUUAUUUUAUAUAUAUAUAUAUAACAGACUAUAUAUAACAGAAUGGCCUAUUCCUCUUCAAGGAAUUAUGUCAACAAAAUCUUACAAAGCAAAUUGGUCAGAGUGGGAAUUGGUUGCCAGUAUGCCUGAUCCAAAGACAAAGAAGGAGCAUCUUACUGACACCAUUGUUACUGACACCACUGAUGUCAGCUGGUUGUGAAGCAGGCCCUAGGGGAUAGUGCUUACAUAUAUAUCUAAAAAAAAAAAACCAAAAAACCCCAAAAAACAGAAAAAAAGACAAAACAAAAAACAUAUUUGCAUUUGAACCUUGCUACAUCAUGUAUUCAUAGAGGAUAUUUCAAAUCUUAAUUCACUGUAUUUAUUCCAGCUUUCGGAGAUAUUUUAAAUGUAUAUGAGAACACAGUCUCCUAAAUACAUUAUAUUUAAUGUUUAACAUGUUAAGAAAUCAUGUUUAAAAGUGAUUUCCUAACAAACUAAUGCAUAUUGCCUAGUUGCUACACUUACAAAAAUCUUGUCAGUGCUUAAAAAGAAACUAAGACACAUUAAAUGUCUCUAUGCUAUUUCAGCAGAUCAGUCUUCCAAAAAUCAAUAGUUUAGUGCCAUCCUUUAAAAAGUCUUUGGAUGGGACAGACAACUGAUCAAUUUAGAAUAGUUUUAAAAUAUUAUGCAUGCUUGUGAAGACUAAACAAAUUAGUUGUUGAGGGAACCAUAUUGCUACAGCAUUUUGAAAAUCACUUGAUGCAUAAUUUGAGCUUUGAUUCAGUAAAGUAUGGAAACAUAAGCUUAAAGCUAAGUGUUUUCUGUCACACUUCUUUUGUCCUGUCUGUAACAUGCAGCCAGCAUGUAUGAUAAGAAAAAAGAUUCUGCAGUGUAAGACUUCAACUAUGACUUCUUAUUGUUUGAGAAGAUGGACCGGGGAAAUGGAAAUCUGCCAAGGUAACUAAGAUACUUAGCAGACAGUGAUAUGAUAAUAGCAGACUUAAAGACCCAUCAAAAAAUUAAGAUCAAAUACACUAUUUAUUUUUCUGUAAUGUAAAACAGAUGGCAUCUGGACAGACAAGAAAUGUGAGUUUAUGUCACAGUCAGGAGAGCCAUCCACAUUAUUGCUGGCAUGGACAUGGUAAAGUCAAAUCAAUCUCUAAGUGAAGAACAAGAAGAAUAAAAGAUCUGAGGAUUUUUUUCCUCAGAUCUCUGAGGAAUUUUUGCCAAGGCAAGGAGACUAUGCAUGGGCAGAAAUGGUCUAACAGCUUGAAAAAUACACUUGUAGAGAAAAAGUGUCAAUAAAAACGCAAGAGUAUAAUAUAUUUACAUAAGGUAACAAAAAAUGCCUGAAAACCACAACUCCAGAUGCAGGUUCAAUUCAUAGAAAAACAACAACAAAAACAGUAAAAAAAAAAAUGGAAGAAGUAGUCCAACUACUUCAAUGCAUUCCAAAUGAAGUAGAGAUAGGAAAACUGACAAGU
ensembl:lncRNA